AUGUACACGCACAUAAACUGUUAUAAUUCUUGCAAAUCAACAGAAUACAUCCAGACAAGGACAAGUCCAAAUUUCACAGGAACCCACUCACAUCUAAUACAUAGAAAUUUCAGAGAGGGAGAGAGAACAGUAGCAAGUGUUGGAGAAGGAGAAAGUGAUUCAGAAGAAGCAGGGAAGCAGCGAGGUAGGCGAAGAAGAAGCAGCAGCAGAGGUACAGAGAGAAGGAGCAGCAGCGAGGAAAGUGGGAGAGGGAGCAGCAGCAGUUUUAAGAGGAGGAGGAGGAGCAGCGAGAUUCAGAGAAGAAGAAGGGGAGCAGAGGAAGUGGAGUAG
rnacentral:rRNA from 1 species